CCAACCCCUGAACACAGUUUUCAGAUCACAUGCUGAAAAAAAAAAUUAAAGAUACCACAACAAUCAACAAAAGAAAAUACAAAUAUCAACCUACCAUCUAACAAACUAGAGAAAAACUUUUUCUUUCUCAAUAUAGUAAAGAAAGUAAUAAAAAUGCAAAAAGUGUAAAAUUCAAUUCUUAAAAAUGGAAAAAUAAAAAAAAGUAAGUGGACCUAACCCGUUGAAUUAUAUUUAUAUCUACUAUUCUGAUAUUCAAAUUUGAUAAAGAUGAAAUUCGAACAAUCUUUUUUUUUCCGAAAAAUAAAUUUCUAUUAUUUCUAUAAGAUUCUAUCUAAUCUUAUAGAAAUAAUAGAAAAAUACAUUCAAUUAUGUCUUCGCGUAUCAAAAAGUUUCUUUUCAUAUCGAUGCGUACGAUAUUUUUCCAGCAAUUCAUAUAGAUGAGACAGAAACUUUCAUUUACAGUUUGUUCUUUUUAUUAUAGUAUUUAUUCAAAAAAAUG
rnacentral:lncRNA from 1 species